GACGAACGCUGGCGGCGUGCCUAAUACAUGCAAGUCGAACGAACUCUGGUAUUGAUUGGUGCUUGCAUCAUGAUUUACAUUUGAGUGAGUGGCGAACUGGUGAGUAACACGUGGGAAACCUGCCCAGAAGCGGGGGAUAACACCUGGAAACAGAUGCUAAUACCGCAUAACAACUUGGACCGCAUGGUCCGAGCUUGAAAGAUGGCUUCGGCUAUCACUUUUGGAUGGUCCCGCGGCGUAUUAGCUAGAUGGUGGGGUAACGGCUCACCAUGGCAAUGAUACGUAGCCGACCUGAGAGGGUAAUCGGCCACAUUGGGACUGAGACACGGCCCAAACUCCUACGGGAGGCAGCAGUAGGGAAUCUUCCACAAUGGACGAAAGUCUGAUGGAGCAACGCCGCGUGAGUGAAGAAGGGUUUCGGCUCGUAAAACUCUGUUGUUAAAGAAGAACAUAUCUGAGAGUAACUGUUCAGGUAUUGACGGUAUUUAACCAGAAAGCCACGGCUAACUACGUGCCAGCAGCCGCGGUAAUACGUAGGUGGCAAGCGUUGUCCGGAUUUAUUGGGCGUAAAGCGAGCGCAGGCGGUUUUUUAAGUCUGAUGUGAAAGCCUUCGGCUCAACCGAAGAAGUACAUCGGAAACUGGGAAACUUGAGUGCAGAAGAGGACAGUGGAACUCCAUGUGUAGCGGUGAAAUGCGUAGAUAUAUGGAAGAACACCAGUGGCGAAGGCGGCUGUCUGGCCUGUAACUGACGCUGAGGCUCGAAAGUAUGGGUAGCAAACAGGAUUAGAUACCCUGGUAGUCCAUACCGUAAACGAUGAAUGCUAAGUGUUGGAGGGUUUCCGCCCUUCAGUGCUGCAGCUAACGCAUUAAGCAUUCCGCCUGGGGAGUACGGCCGCAAGGCUGAAACUCAAAGGAAUUGACGGGGGCCCGCACAAGCGGUGGAGCAUGUGGUUUAAUUCGAAGCUACGCGAAGAACCUUACCAGGUCUUGACAUACUAUGCAAAUCUAAGAGAUUAGACGUUCCCUUCGGGGACAUGGAUACAGGUGGUGCAUGGUUGUCGUCAGCUCGUGUCGUGAGAUGUUGGGUUAAGUCCCGCAACGAGCGCAACCCUUAUUAUCAGUUGCCAGCAUUAAGUUGGGCACUCUGGUGAGACUGCCGGUGACAAACCGGAGGAAGGUGGGGAUGACAUCAAAUCAUCAUGCCCCUUAUGACCUGGGCUACACACGUGCUACAAUGGAUGGUACAACGAGUUGCGAACUCGCGAGAGUAAGCUAAUCUCUUAAAGCCAUUCUCAGUUCGGAUUGUAGGCUGCAACUCGCCUACAUGAAGUCGGAAUCGCUAGUAAUCGCGGAUCAGCAUGCCGCGGUGAAUACGUUCCCGGGCCUUGUACACACCGCCCGUCACACCAUGAGAGUUUGUAACACCCAAAGUCGGUGGGGUAACCUUUUAGGAACCAGCCGCCUAAGGUGGGACAGAUGAUUAGGGUG
rnacentral:rRNA from 1 species